UAUUCUGCCCCAUGGGGAAGGAUGAGAAGCUUCGACUAAGGUUCGACUCGAGCGCCAGCGAGAGAACGUUGCCACAGGCAACGGCCCG
rnacentral:sRNA from 1 species